GCCUUUCAUGAGACCCAGCAGCUACAGGAGAUCCUGGGUUGGAAGGCCGGGCCCGGAGCAAAAGCAGCGGGAAUGGACGUCCAUCAGGGCGGCGCUCUUAUCCUGCGCUGCUCCCUCAAGUUCCAAAGAUCUGAGCCCUAAAGAGAACAGUUAACUUGGCAUUAUGGUUGGCAGAGCUUUACUCCUAAACCGUGGUCCUGAGCACCAGAGCACUGCCCAACCCACUGCCAGGACCUUCGAUCCAGCCUCAGAAGCAGGCUCUUAGAUGUCCAUUUAAAGAUAAGAUGCUGCAAGCUUGAGUCAAGACUGUGGUGAUGGUGUAAGUGGGCAGUGACAUACAGCGAGCGGUGUGCACUUCACGUAACCACCCAGUCCUGCACAGAGACACAACUAAGCCCACGAUCUAAACUGUCCAGAGCUCUCAGAGACAGAAGGCUCUAGGACCUGGCAUGGAAAAUACUGCAAGAAUGCACCAUAGGAAAUGAACUGUCUUGGUUCUAUGAAGUUCUGGAUCUCCACACGCGUUUCUUCUGUGUUUUGACUUUGCCAUUAUCUCUUGACUGACCUUCAUGACAGCAGUUUCUGUGAUGCUACCAUUAGCCCCCUUAGUAGUCAUCCAUUGCCCACCUUUGUCUUACCUUGACUUUCUGAUAAAACCUCUGGCAACUAGCUUCCACCGAUCCCAAAGCUAUGAAAGUCAUGAGAUAGCACCUGAGACCUACCCACCUACCCACUGCUUCCGAAGUGUGCUUAAGAAGUAGGUAUUUUUGGUUGUUACUGUAAAACUUCAUCAAAUUGUUAUCAUGUAGGGCAGAAUCUACGGUGACCUGAAUCUAUGUUCCCAAGCUAUAGUCACUCACAGAAUAAAUUCUUCUUCCCUUUGAGAUGAGAGCUGUGUUUUUACGUUGUCAUAGAAAUGUGACACAGAAAAUCAAGAAAGCAAGGUUCUUGACUUGAGGACGAUUCUCAACCAACCAUGAGUUCAGCAAGCAAGGCUGACUCUUGACUCCUUAAUUCCUCCCCGCAACUUUACGGAUGUUAGCACACACUGCCACAGACACAAGGGGGGAAACGUGGAGAAUCAACUAGCACAAAGAUAAAAUCCUAGGAAAAAACAUCCUUGGUUGGUGACAGGCCCAAGGACAGACGAUUUUCUUCAAUCUCCAGGACCAUCCUUGUCCCCUACCCAGUUUGGCCUUAGGCCCCGCCCACAGCUCUUGAGCCGGAUAUGCGCCCGGCUUCCAGUGGAGAGCUUAGCGGCUCCCAAACUGAGCAUGUGCGGAAGUCGGGUCUCCGCGGCCAGCACACGCAGACGCACAAACGCGCGGGACCUUGGAUCUUGAGUUUACUUCCGGUCUUCCGUCAUCUCUUCGGACCCUUUUCGCCUGUGGGUGACCCGACCUCAGGGGCGGGUGGCAGACAACAUGGAAACAGCUAAAGAUGGUGAGCAGAGCCCAAGUGAGGCAUCUCCUUCAGCCCAGGCAGGUCCUGAAAACAUCCCGGAGCCUAUGUCUCGGGAGGAGGAGAGCCAGCCAUUGUACCAUGAAGAGACCAUUGAUCUUGGUGGAGAUGAGUUUGCAUCUGAAGAGAACGAGCCCACAUCGGAAGGGUCUCACAACUUCGGAGAUAAGCUUAAUGAGCACAUGAUGGAAAGUGUGCUCAUCUCCGACUCUCCUAACAACAGCGAGGGGGACGUUGGCGACCUCGGCUGUCUACAGGAUGUUGGGGAGCCCCCCAGAGGUGCCACUGAUCACCGACUGCCCAGUAGCACAGACAAAGAAGUGGUGGACACUCUGAGUAAUGGCAGUGAAACCGAUGGAGACGACACUCCCAGAGACAUCUCAGACAUGACACCUGAUAGCAGAGCCUCUCUGAAGGAAGACUCAACACAGGAAGAUGUGACGAGCAUGCCUGCACUGGAGAAUGCUGCCACGGAGGAAGUCGGGCCUAAGGACAGCCUCGCGCCCCGAGAAGAGCAGACCUCAGAAGUGUCCUCCAAUCAGUCCUCCUCCAAAGACGAGCCCUUGCCCGUCUGCACCAUCUUCAGCCAGGCUACCGCCACUCCCUCCCAGCCACACCUGUUUCUACAGGAUGGCUUCGAGUCCCAGAUGGUGAAAUCACCCAGUUUCAGUAGCACCAGUGAGACGUCAGCCAAGACCCCUCCUCCGAUGGUCCAGCCCAGUCCCAGCCUCAGUACAUUUUUUGGAGAUACAAUGAGCUCUAAUUCCUUGGCCUCUGACUUCUUUGAUUCCUUCACAACUUCUACUUUCAUUUCAGUCAGUAAUCCCAAUGCAGGUUCCCCAGUUCCAGAAAAGCUGUCUUCACUCACUGCCCCUGUAGGAGAGAAGUCCCCGGAUUCCACCAGCCCAUCUUACUCCACAAGGAUGGAUAGAUCGGAAUCAGGUGUUUCUCGGGCCCCUCUGGAUGUCCCUGAAUCUCCAAAGCCAUUUUCACAGAUCCAGGCUGUGUUUGCUGGAAGUGAUGACCCCUUCGCCACAGCCCUGAGCAUGAGUGAGAUGGACCGGAGGAAUGACGCAUGGCUUCCCAGUCAGGCGACCAGAGAAGUCCUGAUGUCAGUAGCAACCCAGCAGUAUGGCACUGUGUUCAUAGACAAGGAGAACCUCACUAUGCCUGGCCUCAAGUUUGACAACAUUCAGGGAGAUGCAGUUAAAGACUUGAUGCUUCGCUUCCUGGGUGAGAAGGCUGCAGCAAAGAGACAGGUCUUAAAUGCCAGCUCAGUGGAGCAGUCCUUUGUGGGGCUGAAGCAGCUCAUUGUUGUCUUGAAUCCAGAUGCCCAAGCCACAUGAAGGAUCUUUUUUCAUUUUAAAAAAAUGUAUUAUUUAUAAAAUACUCACUGGCCUGAGGGGCUCUUCAUCAGCAUCUUCAGCCCUGAGAGACAACCCAGCUUUCCUGACCCUGGUAAUGAAUAUUGGCUUGUUUCUUCUCUCUCUUCACUGUGCCUUCACACAUUGCUGCUUGUUCAGAGCUGGAUAGCAGUUCCCUGAGUCCAGUCACCAUGAGGAAUCCCUUGGGUCUUUUGUGCCCAGGGAAGAGUCCCAGCUAUUCCCCUUGAAAGGACUGAGAGAUCCUUCCAGAGUCUGAGAGGCCAAACCGUCCAUCCCUCCCCCUCUCUGCUGUUGUGCUAGAACAAUUGUGUGGUCACCAGAAACAAGCACACAGGUCUUCACUCGAUGACCUGGAAGAGUACUGGACCCCAGUGGAGGCCUUGUUCCGUAACAGAAGCAGGCAGCUGUCACCGAGGCAGGCAUUUAUCAGCCCAACCCUGAGUCACCAACACCAGUGUGCCCCCAGACCUACUAUUCGGCUCGGUGUCUUUCACUACACUACUGAUGUGUUCUCAGAAAGGUCAGUGACUCACGUGCUGAGGUGUGUUAUAUACAGAACAGUUAGGGUUUAAUUUUCAGUAAAUGUCAAUCUACUGUCCCAUUGGUUCUCUUACUGAAGUGACUCUGAGGUUACUCCUGUGAUUGAAAGCUUUCUGUAGCUCUGCGUGUCGUCGGCAGCUUCCUGUGAUCCCAGCAGUCUCGGGCUGAGGUGAGAGGAUUAUGAGUUUGAGACCAGUCUGCAGUAUGCAGCAAGAUUUUUAAGAAAAUAAGACUUUGUUGGACAAAAAAGGCAAGAUACUGGUUUUAAAAAAAAGCAAGGACAGCUGCUUUAAGUGACUGCUCUUCUGUCCUUGCUAGUGAGAUUGUAGGUGACCAUCUCUGCAGCCCCCGUGAGCUGGUCAGCAAGCAGGCCUUUCCAUGGUAAGGGGUGGCUGUUCCCCUUCUUCAAUUUGGACUUUAAAAAGAAAACCAAAAAAGCAAGCCUGACUUGAUGAUGGACAGGCUUCAUUUCCCAGUUCAUCUCUAAAGUACACACGGGCCCUGUACUGAUUAUAAUCCAUCUGCCUGGUGUGUUUCUACCAUCUGUAGUUAUUCCUUAUAUUAAUACAUGCUUUUAUCUUUCUCCCAUACACUGAAAAUGCUCAAGGCCAUUGGAGAUCCCACUGCAGGAACCUGACCAGGCAUCCUCUUCAGGACGGGUCCCAGGACCAUCAGCCAAGAGGUGGCACUGCACCUACUUUGAGCUCGGUUCACCCACAUCAAUCAAGAAAAUGCACUACAGGUCUCCCCACUGGCCAGUUGUAAGAGCUGCAGGAACUGGAGGGCAGCAGUCGACCUGUGUGGACGCCUGCUCACAGCCCACGGACAAGGCUAUGGCAAGAAUGGGCUGCCCACCAGCCACACCACAGACUCCUUGCAGCUCUGGUUUGUGAGGUUGGCGCUGCUGGUGAAGUUGGGCCUUUUCCAGAAUGCUGAGAUGGAGUUUGAACCCUUUGGAAAUCUGGAUCAACCAGACCUAUACUAUGAAUACUACCCACACGUGUACCCAGGACGCAGGGGCUCCAUGGUCCCCUUUUCGAUGCGUAUUCUGCAUGCAGAACUGCAGCAGUAUCUGGGGAACCCACAGGAGUCCCUGGACCGAUUACACAGGGUCAAGACCGUCUGCAGCAAGAUCUUGGCCAACUUGGAGCAAGGCUUAGCUGAAGAUGGUGGUCUGAGCAGCGUCACCCA